rnacentral:rRNA from 1 species
GAUGAACGCUGGCGGUAUGCUUAACACAUGCAAGUCGAACGGACUCUUCGGAGUUAGUGGCGGACGGGUGAGUAACGCGUGAGAAUCUGGCUUUGGGUUCGGGACAACCACUGGAAACGGUGGCUAAUACCGGAUGUGCCGAGAGGUAAAAGGGAAAUUGCCUGGAGAUGAGCUCGCGUCUGAUUAGCUAGUUGGUGAGGUAAAGGCUCACCAAGGCAGCGAUCAGUAGCUGGUCUGAGAGGAUGACCAGCCACACUGGGACUGAGACACGGCCCAGACUCCUACGGGAGGCAGCAGUGGGGAAUUUUCCGCAAUGGGCGAAAGCCUGACGGAGCAAUACCGCGUGAGGGAAGAAGGCUCUUGGGUUGUAAACCUCUUUUCUUAGGGAAGAACAAAAUGACGGUACCUAAGGAAUCAGCAUCGGCUAACUCCGUG